rnacentral:lncRNA from 1 species
AAAUCACCACCACAGGUACCACAACGGCUGAGACCACAACAGACACUACAACACCAGAAAGUACCACUACAGGUACCACAACACCCGAGACUACAAGAGACACUACAACGAUUGAAAGCACCACUACAGGGUCAACAACAGCCGAAACCACAACAGACACUACGACAACAGAAAGCACCACAACAGGUACCACAACAACAGAAAGCACCACAACCGAGACCACAGCAGACACAACAAACACCAGAAAGUACCACUACAGGUACCACAACAGUUGACACAACAAUAGAUACUACAACAACAGAAAGCACCACGACCGAGGCCACUACAGACACUACAACACCAGAAAGCACAACUACUGGUGCCACAACUGUCGAGACUACAACAAUAGAAAGCACCACCACAGGUAAAACAACAACAGAAAGCAGCACAACUGAGACCACAACAGACACCACAACACCAGAAAGCACUAAUACUGGUAUCACAACAACAGAAAGCACCACAACCGAGACCACAACAGACACUACAACACCAGAAAGCACCACUACAGGUACUACAACAACAGAAAGCAGAACAACAGAGACCACAACAGACACAACAACACCAGAAAGUACCACUACAGGUACAACAACACCCGAGACUACAACAGACACUACAACGAUUGAAAGCACCAAUACAGGUUCAUCAACAGCCGAAACCACAACAGACACUACGACAACAGAAAGCACCACCACAGGUACCACAACAACAGAAAGCACCACAACCGAGACCACAGCAGACACUACAACACCAGAUAGCACCACUACAGGUUCAACAACAGCCGAAACCACAACAGACACUACGACAACAGAAAGCACCACUACAGGUACCACACAACAGAAAGCACCACAACCGAGACCACAGCAGACACUACAACACCAGAAAGCACCACUACAGAUACUACAACACACAGAAAGCACAACAACAGAGACCACAACAGACACAACAACACCAGAAAGUACCACUACAGGUACACAACAGUUGACACAACAAUAGAUACUACAACAACAGAAAGCACCACGACCGAUGCCACUACAGACACUACAACACCAGAAAGCACCUUACUGGGGCCACAACUGUCGAAAGUAACACAGAACUACAACAGAUGAAAGCACCACCACAGGUAAAACAACAACAGAAAGCAGCACAACUGAGACCACAACAGACACAACAACACCAGAAAGCACUACUACUGGUAUUCACAACAACAGAAAGGCACCACAACCGAGACCACAACAGACACUACAACACCAGAAAGCACCACUACAGGUACUAC